rnacentral:rRNA from 1 species
UGUGGCCUACGGGACGCAGCAGUGGGGAAUAUUGCACAAUGGGGGAAACCCUGAUGCAGCGACGCCGCGUGAGUGAAGAAGUAUUUCGGUAUGUAAAGCUCUAUCAGCAGGGAAGAAGCAAGACGGUACCUGACUAAGAAGCCCCGGCUAACUACGUGCCAGCAGCCGCGGUAAUACGUAGGGGGCAAGCGUUAUCCGGAUUUACUGGGUGUAAAGGGCGUGUAGGCGGGGACGCAAGUCAGAUGUGAAAACCACGGGCUCAACCUGUGGCCUGCAUUUGAAACUGUGUUUCUUGAGUGCUGGAG